rnacentral:rRNA from 1 species
UACGUAGGGGCCAAGCGUUGUCCGGAUUUAUUGGGCGUAAAGAGCUCGUAGGCGGUUCGACAAGUCGGGUGUGAAAACUCCGGGCUCAACCCGGAGACGCCACCCGAUACUGUCGUGACUGGAGUCCGGUAGGGGAGUGGGGAAUUCCUGGUGUAGCGGUGAAAUGCGCAGAUAUCAGGAGGAACACCGGUGGCGAAGGCGCCACUCGUGGGCCGGUACUGACGCUGAGGAGCGAAAGCGUGGGUAGCAAACAGG